ACAUCCAAGGAAGGCAGCAGGCGCGCAAAUUACCCAAUCCCGACACGGGGAGGUAGUGACAAUAAAUACUGAUACAGGGCUCUUUUGGGUCUUGUAAUUGGAAUGAGUACAAUUUAAAUCCCUUAACGAGGAACAAUUGGAGGGCAAGUCUGGUGCCAGCAGCCGCGGUAAUUCCAGCUCCAAUAGCGUAUAUUAAAGUUGUUGCAGUUAAAAAGCUCGUAGUUGAACCUUGGGCCUGGCUGGCCGGUCCGCCUCACCGCGUGUACUGGUCCGGCCGGGCCUUUCCUUCUGGGGAACCUCAUGCCCUUCACUGGGCGUGUUGGGGAACCAGGACUUUUACUUUGAAAAAAUUAGAGUGUUCAAAGCAGGCCUUUGCUCGAAUACAUUAGCAUGGAAUAAUAGAAUAGGACGUGUGGUUCUAUUUUGUUGGUUUCUAGGACCGCCGUAAUGAUUAAUAGGGAUAGUCGGGGGCAUCAGUAUUCAAUCGUCAGAGGUGAAAUUCUUGGAUUGAUUGAAGACUAACUACUGCGAAAGCAUUUGCCAAGGAUGUUUUCAUUAAUCAGUGAACGAAAGUUAGGGGAUCGAAGACGAUCAGAUACCGUCGUAGUCUUAACCAUAAACUAUGCCGACUAGGGAUCGGACGGUGUUAGUAUUUUGACCCGUUCGGCACCUUACGAGAAAUCAAAGUUUUUGGGUUCUGGGGGGAGUAUGGUCGCAAGGCUGAAACUUA
rnacentral:rRNA from 1 species